rnacentral:rRNA from 1 species
UACGAAGGGUGCAAGCGUUACUCGGAAUUACUGGGCGUAAAGGGUGCGUAGGUGGUUCGUUAAGUCUGCUGUGAAAUCCCCGGGCUCAACCUGGGAAUGGCAGUGGAUACUGGCAAGCUAGAGUGCGGUAGAGGGUAGUGGAAUUCCCGGUGUAGCAGUGAAAUGCGUAGAGAUCGGGAGGAACACCAGUGGCGAAGGCGGCUACCUGGACCAGCACUGACACUGAAGCACGAAAGCGUGGGGAGCAAACAGG